rnacentral:rRNA from 1 species
UACGAAGGGGGCUAGCGUUGUUCGGAUUUACUGGGCGUAAAGCGCACGUAGGCGGCUUUCUAAGUCAGGGGUGAAAUCCUGGAGCUCAACUCCAGAACUGCCUUUGAUACUGGAGAGCUUGAGUCCGGAAGAGGUGAGUGGAACUCCGAGUGUAGAGGUGAAAUUCGUAGAUAUUCGGAAGAACACCAGUGGCGAAGGCGGCUCACUGGUCCGGUACUGACGCUGAGGUGCGAAAGCGUGGGGAGCAAUCAGG